UUCUUUGUCCCCAUCUUUGGACCCUAGUCACCAAUUCUGGGCAAAAAUAAAGAUUCAACUCAGUAUCUUCUACAAUAUGCUGAAAUGAACCAAAGCUUAUAUGAAAAAAAGCAGCUCAGCUGCAUUCCAAAAAGAGGAGGCAAGGUCAUCUUCUGAGCGAAAGAACCAGCAAUUAAAAGUCUAGGUGGAAUAAAGAAGACAGAAUCAGACUGUGGAUAGAACAUCAGAUAAAAGCCAUGGAUAAUUUCUCCCCGGUUAAAAAAAAAAAAAGGGCACAUACACAUAUUUCAC